UUUUUUUUUUGGAAAGUGUUGUAAUGUUUCAAAUAUAUAUAUAUAUAUUGUUAGUUAAAGAAAAGAAAAAAAAAGAUAUUUAAAAAAAAAAACAAAUUGGUGGGCCCACAAUUGUUUUAAGUGAUCGUGAGACUAUCUUUUGGUCUUUUGGCCUCUAUUUCUUUAUUCUCUCGUCUCUCCCCCUGCUUGCUUCCCUGUGGUUUCUUUUUUCCCUUUUCUUUUUUUUCAUUUCAAAACUUAAAUCCUUGAUUCCUCUCUCAAUUCUUGGUAUUUUGAAAUAUCGUUUGCGACAAAUUAAAGCUCACGGCGAGACCUACAAGCUGAUAGGAGCAAUUCAUUGGUUGAUGCAUCAUGAGAAAUUCAAAAAUCCUAAGAUUUGAGGGCUCGGAAAAGAAGUGGCGGAUGACAAUCCCCCGCAAGCUUGAAGAAGAUUAGAAGUUGUAUUUUGUUAUCUUUUGUAUCUUAGUCCAUUUUUUUUUUUUUUUU